UAAAAUGGCUGAGGUUAGGCGAUAAAUUGUAAAUUUAUUAACGAGAGUUUCUCUUUUAU
rnacentral:tRNA from 2 species